AGGAUCUAGUAAGAGAUCCCAUUCUCACUUUUAUUUCUUUACACGUGUACUUUGGAAUAGUAACCGACUAUUUUUUCCAAACAUGCGUUCAUAAACGUUCAUGGAUUAAUGCGUUUUUAUGCUGGAGGAAACUUUCUCACCAAUUGUUUUGAAGAAGUAUGUUGUCUUGCAUCAGAGAAGACAUGAGUUGCUUGCUAAAAUGGGCAGCUUUCCUCUGGAUCGUACAUACCAUUCCUUGCACUGUUGGAAUGGCAUUGAACGAAAGAAUAGACAACUCUAGAUGUCCUCCAUUGAAAGUAGACAAGGACCUGUUUUCCUACAGUUUAAAUGGUCCACAGCCAGAAUUCACCGGUUUUGAUCUGACAGAAAAGUUUCUCCUGAGAAAGGGGGCAGUGACAGAGGAGCGGCCAUCAUUCCGGCUGGGGAGCAG